GAUGAACGCUGGCGGCGUGCCUAAUACAUGCAAGUCGAGCGAACAGACGAGGAGCUUGCUCCUCUGACGUUAGCGGCGGACGGGUGAGUAACACGUGGAUAACCUACCUAUAAGACUGGGAUAACUUCGGGAAACCGGAGCUAAUACCGGAUAAUAUAUUGAACCGCAUGGUUCAAUAGUGGAAGACGGUUUUGCUGUCACUUAUAGAUGGAUCCGCGCCGCAUUAGCUAGUUGGUAAGGUAACGGCUUACCAAGGCAACGAUGCGUAGCCGACCUGAGAGGGUGAUCGGCCACACUGGAACUGAGACACGGUCCAGACUCCUACGGGAGGCAGCAGUAGGGAAUCUUCCGCAAUGGGCGGAAGCAUGACGGAGCAACGCCGCGUGAGUGAUGAAGGUCUUCGGAUCGUAAAACUCUGUUAUUAGGGAAGAACAAAUGUGUAAGUAACUAUGCACGUCUUGACGGUACCUAAUCAGAAAGCCACGGCUAACUACGUG
rnacentral:rRNA from 1 species